rnacentral:lncRNA from 1 species
GCCGGUGCAUUUUCCAAUCCAGAGAUAGUGCGACAAAUCUUUAAUGAGCAUGUAAUCAUCUCCCAGACAUUUUCUGUUCGCACGAAGAAGCAGAUACAAGAAGCUUGCUUCAUGUUAUACACUCUGAUAAAAUCUUUCAGCAGUUGAAUAGAAGGGGACGAAUCAUAGUAAAGUGUUCCGAUACAGAUGUUUUUGUGCUCUGUGUUCAUUAUUUCGUGGUUCCUGUGUCGACUGAACAAAUGUGGUUUUUGACGGGGUCAACUAAUUCUCUUAGAGACUGUAGAAGGUACAUACCAAUCCAUGAGUUAAGUACAUCUCUUUCACCUUUACUAGCUAACAUUAUCCCUGCAGUUCAUGCUUUAACUGGUUGUGAUACCACUUCCGCUAUAUUUGG